rnacentral:rRNA from 1 species
GCAGAGACUAGCUCUCGUACCUUUUGCAUCAUGAUUUAGCCAGUAACACCCAAGCAAAGAGCACUUUAGUUUGUGACCCCGAAACUAAGUGAGCUACUCCAGGACAGCCUAUUAACAGGGCAAACCCGUCUCUGUGGCAAAAGAGUGGGAAGAGCCUCGAGUAGAGGUGACAGACCUAUCGAACUUAGUUAUAGCUGGUUGUCUAGGAACUGAAUAGAAGUUCAGCCUCCUGGCUUCUUCCCAAACCAAGAGAGUUAAUUAAAGGGGGUACAGCCCCUUUAAAACAAGACACAACUUUAUCAGAUGGGUAAAGAUCAUACUUCACCAAGGCAAAGUGUUCUAGUGGGCCUAAAAGCAGCCACCCAAUAGAAAGCGUUAAAGCUCAGACACCCAAUCCCGAUAACAAUUCUUAACCCCCUAAUCCUACUAGACCGCCCCAUGCCAAGCAUGGGAGAGAUUAUGCUAAUAUGAGUAAUAAGAGAGGGCCCUCUCCUAGCACAAGUGUAAAUCGGAACGAACCCCCACCGAACAUUACCGGCCCCAACCCAAGAGGGCAAUGAGAAAAAACCAGAAAACUCCCCACCGUUACCCCCACACUGGUGUGCACCCAAGGAAAGACCAAAAGAAAAAGAAGGAACUCGGCAAACUAGCCUCGCCUGUUUACCAAAAACAUCGCCUCUUGCACAAAUAAGAGGUCACGCCUGCCCUGUGACAGAUAGUUUAACGGCCGCGGUAUUUUGACCGUGCAAAGGUAGCGCAAUCACUUGUCUUUUAAAUGAAGACCUGUAUGAAUGGCACGACGAGGGCUUGACUGUCUCCUUUUUCAAGUCAAUGAAAUUGAUCUCCCCGUGCAGAAGCGGGGAUAGACCCAUAAGACGAGAAGACCCUAUGGAGCUUCAGACACAAAAGUAGAUCUUGUUAAACCCCCUAAAACAAAAGACUAAACCAAAAGAACCCUACCCUAAUGUCUUUGGUUGGGGCGACCGCGGGGAAAAAACUAACCCCCAUGUGGAAUAAGAGAACUCUUACAAACAAGAGCCACAGCUCCAGUUAACAGAAAAUCUGACCUUAAGAUCCGGCAAUGCCGAUCAACGGACCGAGUUACCCUAGGGAUAACAGCGCAAUCUCCUUUUAGAGCCCAUAUCGACAAGGAGGUUUACGACCUCGAUGUUGGAUCAGGACAUCCUAAUGGUGCAG